rnacentral:rRNA from 1 species
GAUGAACGCUGGCGGCGUGCCUAAUACAUGCAAGUCGAGCGAACAGAUAAGGAGCUUGCUCCUUUGACGUUAGCGGCGGACGGGUGAGUAACACGUGGGUAACCUACCUAUAAGACUGGGAUAACUUCGGGAAACCGGAGCUAAUACCGGAUAACAUUUGGAACCGCAUGGUUCUAAAGUGAAAGAUGGUUUUGCUAUCACUUAUAGAUGGACCCGCGCCGUAUUAGCUAGUUGGUAAGGUAACGGCUUACCAAGGCAACGAUACGUAGCCGACCUGAGAGGGUGAUCGGCCACCCUGGAACUGGGCCACGGUCCAGACUCCUACGGGAGGCAGCAGUAGGGAAUCUUCCGCAAUGGGCGAAAGCCUGACGGAGCAACGCCGCGUGAGUGAUGAAGGGUUUCGGCUCGUAAAACUCUGUUAUUAGGGAAGAACAACCGUGUAAGUAACUGUGCACGUCUUGACGGUACCUAAUCAGAAAGCCACGGCUAACUACGUG